GUGCCUGAGAAUUCUCUCACUUCUUCCCGGCAGCUCCAGCAUCUUCCUUCCCCAGCCACAGAGGCAUCCCUUCUGAUGUAUUCUGGUUGGUUGAGCCCAAUCAGCCUGUUUCAUCUCCAGCCUUUCUCCCUGGACAGGGGUGGGGAAAGGAGUGCUGGAUUCGGAGCUCCUCCUUCCCUGCACCGCCUCAUUUUCUCCUCCGGGUCUGGCGCACAGUGGCCAUUGCCGAUGCACCCUGAAGACUGAAGGAGCCAGGGCAGUGCCAGGAUCCUGCGAGCCACGGCCCUGGCUGCCCUGCUGAGCCUCCCGGAACCCAGGUCAUCAGGGAUAAAGAAAGCUUUUUAUGGCUCACUGACUGAGGACAGUCAAUCCCUUCACAAUCUGGAACCUGAAGAUUGGAUCUUCUGAGAACAUCAGAGAAAGAGUGCCCCUGCCAUCCACACUGCAGCAAACAUCAGAACCGUGAACCUUGGGUUCAUAAUCUCUCAACUGAGAAGGAUCCCUCCGCAUUCUUGAAACUGUACACCCAUCGGAACCCUUAAGAAGCACUUGGCUCUCGCUGUACUUCAACCACCUCCAUAAACUCAACAUCCAUCAGACUGGUCAACCCAUGUCUGAAUCCCAACUGUGGAUUAAGUGGAACUUCUUCCCCAUAGGUGCCCUGGGAAGCAUGAAAAUCAUAUGGGUGUCUGUUUUAAGGUCCCAGAACAUUCCAUGAGAAGCACUCUGCUCCAUCUUCUUUGUCAGGAGCUGGUCAGCCUGCAGCACAUCAGAGACCUCCAAGGGGCGCUGGAGGUAAGGCUUGAUACCCAUUGGCCUCAUUUCUGACCCAGUUCAAAUAUAUUUCACCAAGGCAAGGAUUCCUGUUUGUUCUAGUUGCCUUUGUUCAGUUACUUCUAGAUUUGGGUGGGCAUCCACACUGGAAUGGCCAGGACUUCUAUCCUCCUCCUUCCUCCGUCUCCCCUACCCCUUUGUUUUUCUCUAUUCUAAUUCAUGCCCUUAUUAUGAUUUUCCUGGACAAUAGUAGUAGUUUCUUACCUCAUCUCUCUGCCUCUGGUUCCUGCUCUCUCCAACUGACUUCACAGUCUUCCGAAAACAGAUUUCCAGCCUUGUCAUUUUCAUUUGAAGAUUUCUGAAGAUUUUAAAAAAUAUUCAGUGUUCUCACACUUAUCUGGCUACUGGGAAUCACUUGGGAGCUGAUUAAAAACAUAGAUCUCCAGACCUCCCCACCCAGGGAAUCUGAAUCUCUCGGCAGUGAGUCGGGGGGAAUCUCUGCUUCACAGAGGAUCUCAAGGAGAGUCUUGUGAGCAGCGAGGUUGGGGACCUGCUGGCCUAGAGUGUAGCAGGAUGAGCCUCAGACAAAACCUUUCAGACACCAAGUUGUAGAAGGAAGGGCUUUAUUCAGCUGGGAGCAUCGGCAAGCUACUGCCUUAAAAUCCGAGCUCCCCGAGUGCACAGUUUCUGUCCCUUUUAAGGGCUCACAGCACUAAAGAUUUCACAUGAAAGCGUCAUGAUUGAUUUGAGCAAGCAAGGGGUACGUGACAGGGGUUGCAUGCACUGGUGGUCAGAGAGAAACAAAACAGGGCCGGGAGGGAGUUUCACUACGUUCUUUUAUACAAUGCCUGGAAUCUAUGAAUAAUAUCGGUUUCUAAGUUAUGAAUUGAUUUUUAACUACUGGGUUUAGGCCAGGCAGGCCCAGGCCUUGUUUUGGACCUGGCACUGGGCUACCUGUCUUUGGUUUUACUUCCUUGUUUUUUUUCUUAAAACUGGUACUGAGUAUAAAACAAUAUAAAACAAUAUGAGAGGGUCUCUCUCUUUCCUCAAGAGGAGAAACCCACACUCCUUAGACUGGCAUCAGGGGGUCUCUGCAAUCUGGCAGCUGAUUACCAUGAAAGAAAAUGCUGCCACGUCGCUGAUUUGGGCCUCUAUGAAGUCUUAGUGACAGUUUUUGCAAAUUGUAUUACUUUUAUUUGGACACCUCUCUAAACCAAUUACCUCAGCAACUUUCCUAAACCCAUGUCACUCUCCUCAUCCUUACUCAAUGUGUCCAUCUUCUCCCUCUUAUUGGAUGACGUUCCUUCCACUUUCCCAGAAACAGAGGGAUCAACGGUGUGACCUCCUGAGCCUCCUCCUCCUCCCCCUUCAUUCUUUCCUCUCUCUCUAGGGCAAAGGUCCUUGUUUAGUGCAAGGCUCGCUAGUGCUUUUUGGUCUCCUUCACAGGAUUUCUCUCUUGGCCAAAUUAAUACAGGGGUGGGUUAUUAAAAGAUUAUUUUUAGGCAGCUAGAAAGGGUAAAAGUUCUUGGUGGAAUUUGCCUUUAAUAAAAAGCAGCCCCAAACCAAUUUUUUCUCUAACAGAAAGCAACCUCAACACUCAGGCAUAGAUGGGCAAACUAGAAGCUUUUAUAUGUAAAUGCCAGCAGCUGUACCUGGAAGCCAGGUAAUUCAAUAUGGCAUUUCUCACUCUCUUUUCCUUCUAUGUUUACAGGUGUCAUGGCAGCCUCCAGGUUAAAGCCGUGGGCAGGUAUCAUGGCCGCCACCAGGUGGAGGCUGUAUUUGUAUAAUAAAAGACUACGGUGGGAGGGCCAGUCUUUUUGCAGGUUAUGUAAAUGACACACCUGGUCAAACCAAUCCCCUGAGCCCUACGUAAAUCAAUCACUGACUCCUCAAGCCUCGAACAAAACCAAUUGUGUUCCACUACAAACAGGAGACCCUCUCUUGGGCAACCUGCUUUCUCAGCAUUAGGAGGCUUUUUCUCUCACUCUUCUUUUCUGUCUAUUAAACUUUCCGCUCCUAAACCCA